rnacentral:rRNA from 1 species
GACGAACGCUGGCGGCGUGCUUAACACAUGCAAGUCGAACGAUGAAGCCGGAGCUUGCUCUGGUGAAUUAGUGGCGAACGGGUGAGUAACACGUGAGUAACCUGCCCUUGACUCUGGGAUAACUGCGGGAAACUGUAGCUAAUACCGGAUACGACCCUCGGAGGCAUCUCCUGGGGGUGGAAAGAAUUUCGGUCAAGGAUGGACUCGCGGCCUAACAGCUAGUUGGUGAGGUAAAGGCUCACCAAGGCGACGACGGGUAGCCGGCCUGAGAGGGUGAUCGGCCACACUGGGACUGAGACACGGCCCAGACUCCUACGGGAGGCAGCAGUGGGGAAUAUUGCACAAUGGGCGCAAGCCUGAUGCAGCAACGCCGCGUGAGGGAUGACGGCCUUCGGGUUGUAAACCUCUUUUAGUAGGGAAGAAGCGAAAGUGACGGUACCUGCAGAAAAAGCACCGGCUAACUACGUGCCAGCCGCCGCGGUAA